rnacentral:tRNA from 1 species
GAGUGUGGAUUGUUAUCACAAGUUUACUUUGCAGAGGUAAAAUAAAGCUUAGUUGCUUCGCAUUCU